rnacentral:rRNA from 1 species
GGCGACGCGCUGCUUACACAUGCAGUCGACGAUGAACCACUUCGGUGGGGAUUAGUGGCGAACGGGUGAGUAACACGUGGGCAAUCUGCCCUGCACUCUGGGACAAGCCCUGGAAACGGGGUCUAAUACCGGAUACAACCACUGACCGCAUGGUCGGGUGGUGGAAAGCUCCGGCGGUGCAGGAUGAGCCCGCGGCCUAUCAGCUUGUUGGUGAGGUAGUGGCUCACCAAGGCGACGACGGGUAGCCGGCCUGAGAGGGCGACCGGCCACACUGGGACUGAGACACGGCCCAGACUCCUACGGGAGGCAGCAGUGGGGAAUAUUGCACAAUGGGCGAAAGCCUGAUGCAGCGACGCCGCGUGAGGGAUGACGGCCUUCGGGUUGUAAACCUCUUUCAGCAGGGAAGAAGCGAAAGUGACGGUACCUGCAGAAGAAGCGCCGGCUAACUACGUGCCAGCAGCCGCGGUAAUACGUAGGGCGCAAGCGUUGUCCGGAAUUAUUGGGCGUAAAGAGCUCGUAGGCGGCUUGUCGCGUCGGUUGUGAAAGCCCGGGGCUUAACCCCGGGUCUGCAGUCGAUACGGGCAGGCUAGAGUUCGGUAGGGGAGAUCGGAAUUCCUGGUGUAGCGGUGAAAUGCGCAGAUAUCAGGAGGAACACCGGUGGCGAAGGCGGAUCUCUGGGCCGAUACUGACGCUGAGGACGAAAGCGUGGGGAAAAAAAAAAAGGAAAAGCGGGGGUUGGAAG